rnacentral:misc_RNA from 1 species
AAGUCGUAACAAGGUAACCGUAGGUGAACCUGCGGUUGGAUCAUUAAAAAAUGUUUGGUCUCGUGCCAAAUAAACAUUUGUGUGCACCAUUGUCUGUCCUUGGUAGUUCGAGUUGCGCUCGGCCGAUCUCAACAAUCGGUGAGCGCCUACCCCCUAGGGGGUUGGGCUACCGCCUUUUUGAACAAACCUUUUUGUUGUUUUUUUUAUGUCUGAACGAAAAGUUAAUCUUUUUUGAUUAAUGAUUCUUAUACAACUUUUGACAACGGAUCUCUUGGCUCUC